GUGGCGCACAGUCAGAAACCUCAUGCGAGGUCGAAGUCCGUUGGAAAGCGGUGCCGGAGCGGGUGAUAGCCCCGUAGACGUAUGUGUGAGGCUGUGUUCAGCAUUUCCCAAGUAACACGCUACUCCUGGAAUGGUGUGUGAAUCUGGCGGGACCACCCGUUAAGCCUAAAUACUCCUCGAUGACCGAUAGCGGACCAGUACCGUGAGGGAAAGGUGAAAAGUACCCCUGGCGGGG
rnacentral:ncRNA from 1 species